rnacentral:rRNA from 1 species
UACGGAGGGUGCAAGCGUUAAUCGGAAUUACUGGGCGUAAAGCGUACGUAGGCGGCUUGUUAAGCAAGAUGUGAAAUCCCCGGGCUCAACCUGGGAAUGGCAUUUUGAACUGGCAGGCUCGAGUUCUGAAGAGGGUGGUAGAAUUUCCAGUGUAGCGGUGAAAUGCGUAGAUAUUGGAAGGAAUACCGGUGGCGAAGGCGGCCACCUGGUCAGAAACUGACGCUGAGGUGCGAAAGCGUGGGGAGCAAACAGG